UACGUAGGCAGCGAGCGUUGUCCGGAAUUAUUGGGCGUAAAGGGCGCGUAGGCGGCCAUGCGUGUCUUCCGUGAAAUCCCUCGGCUUAACUGAGGACGUGCGGAAGAAACUGCAAGGCUCGAGUCCGGGAGAGGAGGGUGGAAUUCCCAGUGUAGCGGUGAAAUGCGUAGAUAUUGGGAGGAACACCAGUGGCGAAGGCGGCUCACUGGACCGGAACUGACGCUGAGGCGCGAAAGCGUGGGGAGCAAACGGG
rnacentral:rRNA from 1 species